rnacentral:misc_RNA from 1 species
GAUGAAGAACGCAGCGAAAUGCGAUACUUGGUGUGAAUUGCAGAAUCCCGUGAACCAUCGAGUUUUUGAACGCAAGUUGCGCCCGAGGCCUCCUGGUCGAGGGCACGUCUGCCUGGGUGUCACGCAUCGUCGCCCCCUCUCCCCUCGGCUCGCGAGGGCGGGGGCGGAUACUGGUCUCCCGCGCGCUCCCGCUCGCGGUUGGCCCAAAAUCGAGUCCUCGGCGACGGUCGCCACGACGAGCGGUGGUUGGGAGACCCUCGGACACGGUCGUGCGCGCGCCUGUCGCCCCCGGGAUCUCCUGGACCCUCGGGCAUCGAAAUUCUAGGAUGCUCUCGUUGCGACCCCAGGUCAGGCGGGACUACCCGCUGAGUUUAAGCAUAUCAAUAAGCGGAGGA